UACGGGGGGGGCAAGCGUUGUUCGGAAUUACUGGGCGUAAAGCGUGCGUAGACGGUCAUGUAAGUCGGGUGUGAAAGCCCCGGGCUCAACCUGGGAAUUGCAUUCGAGACUGCAUGGCUAGGGUGCGGAAGAGGGAAGCGGAAUUUCCGGUGUAGCGGUGAAAUGCGUAGAUAUCGGAAGGAACACCAGUGGCGAAAGCGGCUUCCUGGUCCAGCACCGACGUUCAGGCACGAAAGCGUGGGGAGCAAACAGG
rnacentral:rRNA from 1 species